rnacentral:sRNA from 1 species
GGCUGUAGUGGGAGUGUUCGAGGAUUCGCGUUGUAUAUUUAAAGUUGGAGUUCGUUGCUAAAGAUGGCAGACCCAGAUGUCCUCACUGAAGUUCCAGCAGCAUUGAAGCGGUUAGCCAAGUAUGUGAUCCGGGGAUUUUAUGGCAUUGAGCAUGCUCUGGCCUUGGACAUCUUGAUCAGGAACCCUUGUGUGAAAGAGGAGGAUAUGCUGGAGCUGCUCAAGUUUGAUCGGAAGCAACUUCGAUCAGUUUUGAAUAAUUUAAAGGGAGACAAGUUUAUCAAAUGCAGAAUGAGGGUAGAGACUGCUGCAGAUGGGAAAACCACUCGCCAUAACUACUACUUCAUCAGUUAUCGUACUCUUGUUAAUGUGGUAAAAUAUAAACUGGACCACAUGAGAAGAAGAAUUGAGACCGAUGAGAGAGAUUCGACCAACCGGGCUUCCUUCAAAUGUCCUGUCUGUAGUAGUACUUUCACAGACUUAGAAGCUAAUCAGCUCUUUGAUCCUAUGACAGGUGAGGUUUAUCCAGUUUGUGAAUCUUUAAAAUAAAGUGUGUAUUACCUUUUUUCU